GGACUAGAUGACCUGCUGCAGAAGCCGACGGACAGGGUGCCCCGAGACUGCGUGUGUUCCCCCAAGUACCCCCACCUCUUUUCUUCGAUCCAAAGCUCUUUCCGUUUCGUUCGCCCAUCGCAGGAAGCGCAACCCUAACAACAUCUCCCUCCCCCUCUGCUGCCGUCGUUGGUAUUUCGCCUGAAUUCAUACCUCCGCCGUGUGUGGUGGAGUUGAAUUGGUCGGAGUUGAGGUCCUCCGCCGAUCUCUCUUUCGGUUCCUUCUCUGAUCCUCUCUCCAUCUCGUGCUUGGCAUCCUUCUGGUAGAAGGAUGACGGAAGACAGGAGUCCGAAAUAUCCCGAUGAACUCCCGCGGUGACCGCAGGCCGGGAGGCAAGGGUGUCUCUUUUCUGAAGCGCUUCAGCUUAAUUUCUGAUACGUGUAUCUUUCGCCCUUGUUCAAUAUUACUUCAUAAUAGCAUGGCGAGUUAUGCCUUUCGACUGGUCGUCGAUUUGCUUCAUGAGGAGUGUUGUAGUUAGUCACGACUAUGACCUUUUAACUGGAACUCGAUCUGAUGUCCUUAUGUUUUAAGUUUGAGUCUUAGUACUCUAAUCGUGUUUCUAUACCUUAGUGUUGAGAGUCAACAUGGCCGAAAUAGAAAAUAAGAAUUAAAGUAGUUCGAGACUGGUUUAGCCUUCUUUUGCCGCUUGAUAUUUUGGGAUACAUUUAAGGAUUAAGAAGCUCUGUAGAUAGCAAUUAUUGACUUAUGUGGUGUAAAUUCAUACUAUUCUUCGUGAGAACCAAACCUAAGAAAUAGUGUGGGUGGGUGCUUUUACUUGGCUAUGUCUAUAAUAGUACUGGAUAGGCCUCCAUUUGAGACUUGGGAUCUGUUUUCUUUUUAUUUUUUCAUCUGUUUAAACCCUAACGGAAAUGAGUAUGAGUUCUCUAUUAAUUUGUUUUUAGUUUAUAUUUUUCUUCCACGCUUAAGAAAUUAUUGGUAUGUUAUGACCCUGUCUUUUACAAUUGCAGAUUCAGAAAUGCACUGGUGCUGUUGUUAUAACAAGGUAUGCCAGGCAAGUGUUUGCAUUAUUGAUACCCACUGAAUCUCACAUACUUCUUUAAUUCCUUUUAUGUUUAACUUUUCUAGAGGCAAAGUACCAUCCUCCUAAUGGAUUGUGAGACAGUGAGAAGCCACUGUAUCUCCUUAUAUCUGCAGGGGCUCAUGUAUGUAGUAUUUCUUGAUUAUAGGAUCUGAUUUACACAAAUCAUUGGCAAGAACAGAAUAUAUGUUUAGUUUUGCAGAAACAUUUUAUUUUUCUGCAUGGACUUGUUGUAUCUAUGAUUGGUAUCUGUAUAAGUGUUCAAUCUGUUCAUGUCAAGAAAAGUUACUAUGCAUUUAAAUGUCAAUAAUAUAUUUUUUUGUGGUUUGUGUCACAUUUCAUCUAAUUAAUCAGACCAAUUCUUGAUUAUUGAGUGUCAGUGAAUUCUUAUGUGAUGCCCAGAAAGUGAAACUGUGAAACUUAACAACUAAAAGAAUUUCUAAAUAAAGAUAGUGUACUAAUUUGAAAGAGAGUUCUAUGUUGUGGCUUCAAGCCCAACUGUUAACCUGAACUUCAAAAACUAUGUUAACUGAGAAUGGAAGUCUACUUAUGGAUAAUAUUCUCCACUCGAUUUUGCUUUAUAGGACAAUUUCUUAUCAAGUAAUUCCACAUAUCUCAAUUUCUCUGUUAUAAUGUCAUACUUCAGUAUUAAUCCUUAUUGCUAGUGUUCGUUUUGUUCUUGGAGGACCUCCCUGAGAUGAGUAUCAUGACUUCCAGGAUACCUUUAAUACGUGAUGACAUAUUUAUCUAGCAUGGUUUGUAAACAUAUGAUUCUUUGGCCAUAUCAGAAAUACCUCGUUUGCUUCUAUGAGGCAUGAUUUUGGAUUACCAAACAAGACGCAAAUAUACAUGUACCCAAUCAUUGAUUACUAGACAGUUCAAGAAUGAGGUACUUAUAAUGAAGUUGUCAUUUCCAUAAUGUGUUUGAUUGUGUUGUUGUAUAUUAUGAUAAAUUACAGCAAAAAUUAGCUAACAUGCCUGGCUGUCAUCAUGAAAGGAAUUAUUUUUCUUACACUAUAUUUCAAUAACAUCGAGAGGAUAACAAGAUGUUGCAAAAAGUAAAGCUAGCUAAAAUCCCUAUUUUAACUUUUCAUAUUAUAAUGAAGAUUAAAUCAUGAUUAAUGAUAAUAGUACAAAGUUCACUCAGGUUAAGAUGUGGUCCAUGAUCUGCCAAGACAUUGAAGGGAGUAGGCUUGGAUGAUUGUGAUGGGAACAUCCUCAAGCAAAAAUUAACAGCAUUUCCGUAGGGUUGUAGGUGUUUUAGUGGACAUCUUGAAACAAGGCCAGAACCUCAGACAUCUUUUACCCCUCUUUACUCAGUUUUGUUUGAUGGGCUGGUAUUAAUCUUUUAUUGCAUCAUUGCAUGGGAAAGUUGAUUGUGAUGCAGAAGGAAAUUUUUUGGGAGACAGGUUAGGCAAGCUCUGAGUAAAUAUUUGUUUCUGGGCUUUGAUGCUGACCCUUCAUUCGAUAUUGCAGCUUGUAUUUGAGGUCCAAAUGUAUGCAACCUUCUUGCAUAAAUCUUGUAGUUGACAGCUCUGCAGAGUCAUCUUCACAAAGUUCCUUUUGGGACUUAUUCGAACUUGUAACUUUGUUGGAUUAUAUAUCUCACUGACAUGGCUGACGGCAGUCUACUGCAAUUAAUAGCGCUUCUGGCUUCAUUUGUUGAUGUUCUAUUUCAUUUUCUUAAAUGGAUCUUUUAAUAUUUGUCCCUUACCCAUCAUUAAAUGUGACUAAUACUUCAAGCUCUCCAUGACAUCUCCAUGUUGGUUAGAUUGUUUUUGUGUUGCUGGUGGUUUGGAUUUGUGUAUGCACUAUGCAGGACCUCUAUAUAAAUCACAUCAUGAAUGAAGCAGGGGCUACUGUUGUACUAAGAGGAAGAGGGUCUGAACAUCAUGAUUGUUUCAAAUGAAGUACCAUUGCAACCCCUGCAUUUAUCUCUGUUAAGUACUAAUCCAAAAAGUCUUGAAGUUGCCAAGAUCUUACCAGAAAACCUUUUGGACAGUUUCCUCUGGAUCUGAUGCUUCAAGCUUUAAGGCACCUUUGGUGUAGGAUUCCAUCAAAUAAGAUUAUGGUGCUGUUCCUCCACCAACAGUUGUUGGUGGGAACAGAAAGCUCAUCAGACGUUGUAUCUUUCCAUCCACUUCCACUGGCUCUAUGGCAGGAGUUCCAAUAGCUUACAGGCACCAUUGUCUGCCCUCAAGGAAUAGCCACUCACUCUGGAGACAUGUUGAAAUAUGGGAAUUCCCACAAACUUGGUUAGCUAUUAUGCUCCCUGCAGUCACUAGAGCGACAUGUUAUAAUGGCUAUGAAGGCAUAUAACCCCAGGCAAUGCCAUUGCAGGGAGUGGUUUUAGUACUCUGCUUGUGUCAUUCACAAGUUCCAUAGUGAGCACAACUGAAGAGUAAGUCAAAAAUUCAAAUGAAACACGGCCUCCACAACUACAUAAAUUUCAGGAGUUGCCUGUUUCUUUAGGGAUGUUAAACUGUUCUUCAGGCAGAUAACCUACGGAUUUGCAUUUGUCACGGGUUUACGCGCAGCAGUUUGGUAAAAGCCAGGAGUUGACCUUUGCUGUCAACAACACGGGUUCGAUUUCUUUCUAGUCACCAGAAUGCUGCUAAUAGACAUUUCAUUUCAUGAUGAUUUGGUAUUCUCUUUGCUUUUCAUGCAUAAUUGUGCUGCAUAUUAGUCAUCUUAGAACUUUUCAGAUCACUACCUAAUGUCCUUCUACCUGUUUGCUUUCUGAACUUUGAUCUAUUUGUUCCCAUGACUUAUUUUAAACCUUUGAUACUCAUCCGAUAUCUAUAUAAUUAUGGUAUUGAGCAAAUGGGGUUUUCUAGUUUGCUUCUUCAGAACUCACAAGUAUCAGAAUUUCUCAAGCCAGCUCGUGAGGGUUUAGAGGUGUGAGGGCUGUCUCAUCCAUGCUGCUGCUGCUGAAGAAGUUGGUAGAUGGUGGACUAAAAUGGGACACAACCUCUGCCAAGGAACAUGCCUCCCCCGCCACCAAAGUUCUCGUCGUCUCAAUCACUCCCCAGGCACCAACAAUGGCGACAAGGAUUCGAGUGAAUCAAAUGGUUUGCCACAAUCUUCAAGAAAUGUGCCUCCACCACCCCCCAAGCUUUCAGAUCCCCAACUCCCUCCAAGAGCUAAAAGCAGGAGCAUGGAUACCUCCCAAGGUUUUCAUUGUGGUCUUUCUCAAAGAGUGUUUUUUGCUUUCGACAUCUUAGGAUGCGUCAAAUCUUUUUGGAAGAAUGUUCAGUUUAGUCUUGCCAGUGUACUACCCUGAAAAUUCUAGCAAUGAUUGUUGUGAAACUCUACCCAGUUCUAGUUUACAUAUGUGACUUGGAAAGUUGUAAUGUUACUACUACUAUUUCCUUUUCCUCUA